rnacentral:tRNA from 1 species
GCUCGGUUAGCUCAGUUGGUUAGAGCGUCGUACUAAUAUCUCGCCUGGGGCGACAUAUAAAGUAAUGCGAAGGUCAUGAGUUCAACCCUCAUACUGAGCA